UACCGUAUGGUCUAGUGGUAAGGAUGUUCGUCUCCCAGGCGGAAAACCCGGGUUCGAUUCCUGGUACGGUAG
rfam:Glossina fuscipes fuscipes unplaced genomic scaffold Scaffold1, whole genome shotgun sequence.